rnacentral:tRNA from 1 species
AAAGGGAGACCUAAUUCAGGUAUGGGAUGAAAAAAAAGUAGUCCCAACCAAGAAUCAAUCCCAAAAGGUCGGAGCGAGGCAAAAUUGGCUUUCAAACUAGGUUCUGGGUUCACACAAGACCUGAACAGGAACAAGGGCUAUUAGCUCAGGUGGUUAGAGCGCACCCCUGAUAAGGGUGAGGUCCCUGGUUCGAGUCCAGGAUGGCCCACCUGCACAGGUGGCCAAAACAAAGAAAAAAAGCUCCGAAUCAGCACCUUAUCUUACUUAUAUAGUAAGAGAGAAUGCUGGCUCUGAGUACAGAGUCCAGAGGAACCUUGAAAACUGCAUAGAGCUAGGUGAAAAAGCCAAAAAAGAAGACCGCAAG